UGGGCGAAAGCCUGAUCCAGCAAUGCCGCGUGCAGGAUGAAGGCCUUCGGGUUGUAAACUGCUUUUGUACGGAACGAAAAGCUUCGGGUUAAUACCCUGGAGUCAUGACGGUACCGUAAGAAUAAGCACCGGCUAACUACGUGCCAGCAGCCGCGGUAAUACGUAGGGUGCAAGCGUUAAUCGGAAUUACUGGGCGUAAAGCGUGCGCAGGCGGUUUUGUAAGACAGAGGUGAAAUCCCCGGGCUCAACCUGGGAACUGCCUUUGUGACUGCAAGGCUAGAGUACGGCAGAGGGGGAUGGAAUUCCGCGUGUAGCAGUGAAAUGCGUAGAUAUGCGGAGGAACACCGAUGGCGAAGGCAAUCCCCUGGGCCUGUACUGACGCUCAUGCACGAAAGCGUGGGGAGCAAACAGGAUUAGAUACCCUGGUAGUCCACGCCCUAAACGAUGUCAACUGGUUGUUGGGUCUUAACUGACUCAGUAACGAAGCUAACGCGUGAAGUUGACCGCCUGGGGAGU
rnacentral:rRNA from 1 species